rnacentral:rRNA from 1 species
CCGGCGCACGGGUGCGUAACGCGUAUGCAAUCUACCUUGUACAGGGGAAUAGCCCAGGGAAACUUGGAUUAAUGCCCCAUAGUAUUAUGAAAUAGCAUUAUUUUAUAAUUAAGGAUUUAUCGGUACGAGAUGAGCAUGCGUCCCAUUAGCUAGUUGGUAUGGUAACGGCAUACCAAGGCUACGAUGGGUAGGGGCCCUGAGAGGGGGAUCCCCCACACUGGUACUGAGACACGGACCAG